rnacentral:antisense_RNA from 1 species
CUUGACCGACCCGAGCAGCAGCGGCCGGUCCGCGUCACGGGCGCCGCCGUAGGCGGCGGCGGCCGCCUGCACUUC